ensembl:ncRNA B0393.14 ncRNA
AAAAAGCACAAAAACUCGUCGACUAAUCUCCCCAUUUCCAUUGCAAAUUAACCCUUUUCACCUUUUUUCCUAUUUCUUAAACCUAGGACUCAUUCUGAUUCUAGAGAUUUCUGAUAUUUUCCAUUGAAAAUUCGAGAUCAUUUUUUGUUAUUGAUAUAAUGGGAAUUUAUUGUGCAGGAAGAGGAGGUAA